AGAAAAAUUGAAGAAAUUAAAGAAAUUAGUUCAUAUCGGUAAAACAAAAAGUUUCAAGGUCGUCGAUAAUAAUUUCCAUUUUUCGAAAUAGAUCGAAGAGGUCUUUUUAUUUUUAUUAUUUUUUUUUCACCAGUAUAUGUACAUAUAUAUUAUAUGAUGUUCGUUAUUUUACGUCGAGUUAAUAGAUGUAUUUUCUAGACAUAGACCUUCGCAAGAAAGAAAACACGUGAUUAUAAUAUUCUACUCGAUAGAGAGAGAAUGCAUGUUUUUUUUGCGUACGUGGAUAUAUCUACUAGGCUGGAUGCACCCAUUCGUCGUAUACUUUCGUGUACGAUCGUGCUCCGAGGGUCAGCAGCGUGCAUGCAUGCGUGCAUGCAUAUAUGUAUGUGUCGUGUGUGCUUGCUGCGUACGUGCGUGCGUCGUACGCUUGUCUUCUUCGUUAUGUAAAAUAGUAUUUUUAUAAAGGCAAAACAGUGUACGCAAGGUCCAUAAAGUCACGAUGUUAAAGAAAAAAAGAAAAAAGGCGAGAAAGAGCACGUAAAAGAUAUGAUGACGAUGACAUUCGGAUUAAUCAAAAACAAAGAUUCGUAAGAAAAUGUCAAAUACAUUACCACGUGGAAAAAAAGCAAAAAGAAGAAGAAGAAUAAUAAACAUAAAUGCUGGCACGGAAUUGGGAAUUUUUAAAAUCUCGUCAGUCUUAAUUACGAUAUUCGAUUCAUCUAUUUAUCUAGACUAAAUGUUCCACGGACGUUUUACUGCCAGCCGAUUCACUAAAAGUGCCAAUUUGGGCACAUACUCGAUGUUAACAAAAUUUAAAUAAACGACAAAAAGAAACAAAAAAAAAGAGGAAAGAAAACAAAUCUGUGAAAACGUGCAAAACACGAAACACUGUGUUCCCUUCUCAAAAGAGACAAAUAGGUGUGUGUGAUAUAUAUAUAUAUGUAUGUGUAUUAGUAGAAAUUGGAAUAGGAGCUCCAGACAUUAAAUCUCGUCCUUCUAUUGUUUUUGGAAAUGCUAUAACAUUUCUGAUACUUUCCGUAUUACAGAGUAUACAGACAAGACGAUCCAGACCUAAAAAGUAUGUUUUGUUACAAGAUAUUUCAUAUCUUCUGGAUGAGGUUGUGUAAAUGGAUGAUGCAUACUUUCUAACAACUGUGAUUCAUUUACUUCAAAUAAUGGAAAAUCUAUAAGCCAUAAAAAGUUAUAGCCAGACGAACGUAUUUUUAAAUUAUUAUUUUCCAAUACGUUUGUAAAUUCAAUUCGUAAUUUUCCUAAAAGUUUUUGCUAAAAUAUGUAUAACAUAAUUUUUAUUUGUUAAGUUAAUUCGACAUAUUUAAUAUAAUAAUUUAUACUAUAUUAUUACAUACAGAAUCAAGCUUAGGACCAAUGGUUAAAAAUAGAAUGUCUCCAAUAUUCAAGUUCAACAUUUGUAUUAUAUCUUCUGCUAUAUUUGCAGAAAAUAAUUUGUCCAAUUGUAAUUUCCAAGAAUUAUCAGAAAUUUUUAUUUGAAACAAUUUGGUAGCUGAAAAAUAUUUGUUUUUUAUAUUGUUAAAUUCUUCCCUAACAGAACGUGUUAAGUAUUCCUAUAAAAUAUAAUAUAUAGAAAUCAGUUCAAAAAACAUUAUUUAAAUAUAUAUAUCUAUAUUAUGAAAUAACCCACAUGUUUAUCGGGAAAAACCAAAGCACAGAUUUCGCAAUCUUUGUUAUUUGUUAACUUAAUAUUUUCCUCCAAAACAGUCAUAUUAAUAAUUUUUUUAAGAUAUUGAAUCUGAAAAAAUGAUAUAAUGCAUAUUUAGUAGGUAAUGCUGAAUAUAAAAUUUAUGUAUGCAUGCAUUUGUACAUGCAAUUUUCUUACUUCAUAAGGUAUUCUCAAAUCUGGUUGAUCUGUACCAUACAACCUCAUUGCAUCAUCAUAAAUCAUGCGUUUAAAAGGUGUAGUUAUAGUUUCUGGCCAACUAUACCUUAGUAGAUUUUCAAUUAAUUCCAUUAUACCAUUUUGAUCAGCAAAUGACAUUUCAAUAUCUAACUGUAUAAUUACUUCAUUAUAAAUUUUAAUAAUGCAUAUGUAAAAAAUAGAUACUUAAUCAUCUACCUGUGUGAACUCAGGUUGUCUAUCAUGUCUUGCACUUUCAUCUCUAUAACAUCGAGCAAUUUGAAAAUACCUAUCAAUUCCACCUACCAUCAAUAAUUGUUUGAAUUGUUGUGGACUUUGUACAAGGGAAUAAAAUUUUCCUGCAUGUCU